UGGAUUUGACGUCGGCGCACGUCGCUUGAUGUUUUCAGGUCGGCUGCUGGCCGGUUUCGAAAAUGGGGGAGCCCAGUGGCCCGAGACACCCGGUAAAGUGUGACAUCACUUUGGAGGGCUCACUUCACUGAAUUGGAUUAUUUUUGUCCGGCAGCCUAUAUAGGCCUACUAACCUAAGACAUAUUGCUCAAUGGACACUUUGCUGAAGUCAGAGAUCAGGGCCCAGCAGUAGAAACUGUCUUCUUAACACCG